rnacentral:rRNA from 2 species
AGAUGAUUGAAAGAUGGUUUCGGCUAUCACUUACAGAUGGGCCCGCGGUGCAUUAGCUAGUUGGUGAGGUAACGGCUCACCAAGGCAACGAUGCAUAGCCGACCUGAGAGGGUGAUCGGCCACACUGGGACUGAGACACGGCCCAGACUCCUACGGGAGGCAGCAGUAGGGAAUCUUCCGCAAUGGACGAAAGUCUGACGGAGCAACGCCGCGUGAGUGAUGAAGGCUUUCGGGUCGUAAAACUCUGUUGUUAGGGAAGAACAAGUACGAGAGUAACUGCUCGUACCUUGACGGUACCUAACCAGAAAGCCACGGCUAACUACGUGCCAGCAGCCGCGGUAAUACGUAGGUGGCAAGCGUUAUCCGGAAUUAUUGGGCGUAAAGCGCGCGCAGGCGGUUUCUUAAGUCUGA